GAUGAACGCUAGCGGCAGGCUUAAUACAUGCAAGUCGAGGGACAGCACAGGUAGCAAUACUGGGUGGUAACCGGCAAACGGGUGCGGAACACGUACACAACCUUCCUUUAAGUGGGGGAUAGCCCAGAGAAAUUUGGAUUAAUACCCCGUAAUAUAGUUGAAUGGCAUCAUUUGAUUAUUAUAGCUACGGCGCUUAAAGAUGGGUGUGCGGCUUAUUAGAUAGUUGGCGGGGUAACGGCCCACCAAGUCUACGAUCAGUAGCUGAUGUGAGAGCGUGAUCAGCGACACUGGCACAGGGACACGAGCCCUACUCCUACGGGAAGCAGCAGUAAGGAAUAAUGGUCAAAGGACGCAAGUCUGAACCAGCCAUGCCGCGUGAAGGAUUAAGGUCCUCUGGAUUGUAAACUUCUUUUAUUUGGGACGAAAAAGGGCCUUUCUAGGUCAACUGACGGUACCAGAUGAAUAAGCACCGGCUAACUCCGUGCCAGCCGCCGCCGUAACAC
rnacentral:rRNA from 1 species